AGCCAUCGAAAGGUAUCGUAUCGGUUUAAGAUCAAUAAGAACAGAUAAGUCUAUUUUUAAACUUCGAUUCGGGAACAGCGAUAGUUCCAUCAAUGUUAAAUGGAAUGUUUGACAACUGACACCUAAAACCUCUUUCAGGAGGCUCGUUCGGCGUACAAUGCGGUCCGAAGCGAUUCUGACGUGCAGAUCGAUUGUCUGACUUUUGUAUAGGGGCGAAAACUAAUUGAAGAAUCUAAUAGGUGGUUCCCUCUGAAGUCUCUCUCAGGAUAGCUGGAGUACGUAAUGAAGCUAUUAUAUUCGAUACAGAAAUAAAGAAUUGUGAGACGAAACAUCUUCAACCUAUUCUCAAAUUUUCAAUGCGUAUGACGUCUCGCUCGCUUGAAUGAAGCAUAGACAUUGAAUGUGUGUUCCAAGUGGUGCCAUUUUUGGUAAGCAGAACUGGCGCUGUGGGAUGAACCAAACGUUGAGUAAAAGAUAAAUCUUCCACUCAAACGCCAUCCAUUUUUAGGGCUAGUUGAAGAAAUGCACUACAAUGGAUGAAAACCCGCUUCAAUCCUCCUGAUGUU
rfam:Onchocerca ochengi, WGS project CAWC01000000 data, contig: 00015_29